CAGUCGCCGCGGUAAUACGUAGGGUGCGAGCGUUAAUCGGAAUUACUGGGCGUAAAGCGUGCGCAGGCGGUUAUAUAAGACAGAUGUGAAAUCCCCGGGCUCAACCUGGGACCUGCAUUUGUGACUGUAUAGCUAGAGUACGGUAGAGGGGGAUGGAAUUCCGCGUGUAGCAGUGAAAUGCGUAGAUAUGCGGAGGAACACUGAUGGCGAAGGCAAUCCCCUGGACCUGUACUGACGCUCAUGCACGAAAGCGUGGGGAGCAAACAGGAUUAGAACCCCAGUAGUCCCUGUCUCUUAUACA
rnacentral:rRNA from 1 species